AGAGUUUGAUCCUGGCUCAGAUUGAACGCUGGCGGCGUGCUUAACACAUGCAAGUCGUGCGAGAAAGGGGACUUCGGUCCCUGAGUAGAGCGGCGCACGGGUGAGUAACGCGUGGAUAAUCUCCCCAGAAGUUCGGGAUAACGGCGGGAAACUGCCGCUAAUACCGGAUACGCUCCAAUUUCGGUUGGGGGAAAGGCGGCCUCUGUUUACAAGCUGUCGCUUCUGGAUGAGUCCGCGUCCCAUUAGCUUGUUGGUGGGGUAAUGGCCUACCAAGGCUACGAUGGGUAGCUGGUCUGAGAGGAUGAUCAGCCACACUGGAACUGAAACACGGUCCAGACUCCUACGGGAGGCAGCAGUGGGGAAUAUUGCGCAAUGGGGGAAA
rnacentral:rRNA from 1 species